CAUAAAUAAAAUAUAAAACAUCAAAUUCAUUAAAAGAAAUGAAAAGUUCACAAGUCUCAUAAACUAACAAAAGAAAGUAAAGUAAAUACCACUAAAUUCUAAGAGAAUUAUAAUACAGGAACAAAAAAAAAGAUAAAAACUACUACAAUUAAACAAGACUAAAACCUAAAACCAACAAGAAAAUUAAGAAAAACCUAAGGAAUUUUAGAGAGAGAAGCUGUCCCACUAAACCUAAGAAGAAAGUGUAAAAUUGUGAAUAUGGUAGUGUCGGUUGAUCCCCCUCCAUCCUCCACUUCAAUAGCAUCAGAAAUAGGUUGGAUUGAACUCCAAAUGCUCUAGAAAUCUCCCCUCACGUGUUUCUUUAAUGAGGCACGAUCUUCGUAUCUCGUGUACGCGACAGGUGCAUGCGUACGUGAGACUGUCAAAAUUCAGGGGAUGCCGCGUAUGCGAGAUUGUCAAGACUUCCAAACUCAAAUUGUUCAUGAUUCCUCGCUUUUGCAUGCUUUCUUCUUUUCACUUUUUUAAGCCAUCCUUACCUUCUAAGUCUAAAAUCACUCAACAAAUACAUCAAAGCAUCGAAUAGAAUAAAAGCGAAAUAAAUUUAGCAAUUUAAGGGCCUAAAAAGUAUGUUUUUAACCAUUAAACACAAUUAAGAGAAAUUCACAAAACUAUGUUAUUUCAAUGAAUAAAUAUAAGAUAAGUUGAUAAAAUCCACUCAUUUCAAUUCAAAAUUUACUAUAAAAUAGUGAUUUAUUAACCUCUCCACAAUUAAACAAUAGCAUGUCCUCAUGCUAAACAUCAAGAAAGACAAGAUCAAAAGAUAUUUUUAUUGAAAAAAAACUAUCUAUAUGUAUUCUAUCUAUUUCUAUCUAUCUACCAAAUCUAUAUAUAUCUACUCGGUCAAAAUAAAUCAAUUUCCAAGAGAAUAUAUAAACAAGGAGGGCCAAAAGCAUUAAUAACCAAGUCAAAUUCACAAUCGAAUUAAGUCAUAGAAAAGAAUUUAUAAACUUGCAAGAUAAGAGAUAAUCACAGCUGGAAACAUAGAGUUGAGCAAUCGAACCCCUCACCGAAUGUGUAUACGCUCUAUUCGCUCAAGUGUAUAGGGUUGAUUCACUCAAUACUCUUCUAAUCUUGCUUUCCAAAAUUUGUUUUUCAUCUAACAAUCAACAAAUAUUCAAUGUAUGCAUACAAGUAUCAUGAGGACUUUUCCAAAGGUUGUAAUGGAACUAGGAUAAAGGUAAAGAUGCAUAUGGCUAAGUGAGCUAAAAUUUAAAUCUUUGAUUAACUUAAGUUUUCACCUAACAUAUGAGAGCCUAUACAAUUCUAAUACAACCUAACUGCCCAUCAUUUCACUUUUCACACACUCAUGCAUUUUUUUCAAUUCACAUCCCAUAUGCAUUAUUAUUAUUGCUUUUUUUGGGGCCUUUGUCCCCUUUUUAUUCUCUUUUUUUUUCUUUUUUUUUUCAUUUACAUAUACAUAUAAAAAUAUCAAUGCAUAUGGUUUAAACAUUUAAUGCAUAAAUAUGUACUUAAUUUCUAAAAUUUUCAACAAGAAUUAAAAACACACUUCUAUCAACCAAUGUUCCCAAUUUUCUAUUUUCUCAUAUUUAGAUGAUACAUACUCUCACUAGCUUAAGUUAAUCAAAGAUCCAAAUUAAGGAUAUUUAUUGUUUUUCACAUAGGGUUAAUGAUGUGCUAAGAUUAAGAACAAAAGGGAUUUAAUAGGCUCAAAAUUGGUUAACAAUGGUAGAUGAAAAGGUAAGGCUAUUUAGAUAAGUGAACUAACUUGAACAAAAGCCUCAAUCAUAUAAAUGCAUUCAUACACAGAAUAAUGGAUAUAAAGAAUCAAACAAAAUAAAGAUCACAAUCAUAGAAAGAGAAUAAGACAUAAGGAAAAAAAAUAGUGGUUAAUAUGAUACAACCACUCAUUAAAGCUCAAAAACUCACAAGGUAGUGUGUUCUAGCUCUAAACUAUGUUCCAUAAUUAUUGUUCAAGCAAGUUUAAUGAAAAAUUUUCAACUCAAAUCAAUUGGGAUGCCCUAUAAAUAAAUUUUUUUAAAAAUUUCAUUAUUUUGACUAAGCUUAUUAUAUAUAUGUAUAUACGAAAAAAAAUGUAAUAAACUAAAAAAAAUACAAUUAAAACUCUAAAAUAUAUACAAACAGGAAAAAAAAUGCAACUUAAAAUUCUAAAAGAUAUAGUAAUAAUAGAAAAAAUGAAAUGUGAAAGUUUUUGGAAUUAGAAUUUUUCACCUAAAAAAUGCCGUCGAAUAACCUCCCCACGUUUAAAAACUUGCACGGUCCUCCGGUACACUUACUACGAUAAGGGGGGUUGCGGAGAUUUAACGGAUUGCCACCUUCAGCUAGUGGAACUUCAUGCUGCUGUGACUGAGGAAGAGGCUUUUUCCUUCACUGUUCGUAGUAGCGUUUUCCUUCUUUGACUUCCUUAUUAUUGGACAAGACACAUGCACACAUGAUUAUGAAGAAGAAGAAUGUUGCAAUAUCGAGUAGGAUUUUGAGACGAGUCAUUACAAUCUGUACUUCUUGUUGCAUACCAAAAAUUAGCCGGUAUAUAUUUGUAUAAAUUUUAAGUUUAACUUAGUCUUAAUUUUGUUUUGUUUUUUGUUUUCCAUAAGUUUAAUAUUGCUCAAUAUAGAAAUAAUAAUGAACGUACUUAGAAUGAAAGGCGAAGAGAGCAAGGUUUUAAGUGAGUGAGAUUGCUAGAGAAAAACAUUAGUUGUAGUAAUGACAAUGAUUCUAAAUUUCUAAUUGAGAAUGGUGGAAGAUUUUUCGAUAGAUUGUUAUUGGACAUAUCCAGAAUCUUGAGUUAUCAUAGACUUGUCAAGCUCUCUGGUAUAGAACCAUUCAAUUUAUUCCCACCAAGAUACAAUCUAUACAGAUCUGUUAAACUCUUGAAUGAAGGAGAUAUUGUCUCCGUCAAAUUCAUGUUCGUCAAAUUCACGGUUCUGAUGUUGCCUUUGUCAUUAUAGGUGAUAAAAUUCCAAGUUUGAUAGAGAUUGUUUUCUCUCCAUGAUUGCGCCAACAGAAUGGAUAAUGAAAUACUUGAGCCUUUAAGCAAAGUGGUGACUCUGUGAUCACAAGCCGUGAUAAUAUAUAUCCUAGGCCUUAUGAUCACAGAGUCAUCACUUUGCUUCAAGUUGCUCCAAGUGUUUUAUUAUCCAUUUCUGUUGGCACAAUCAUGACAAGGAAACAAUCUCUGUCAAAAGCUUGGAAUUUCAUCACAUGUAAAGACAAGAACAACAUCAGAACCGUAAAUUUGACCAACAUGAAUUUGACGGAGACAAUAUCUCCUUCAUUCAAAAAUUUAACGGAUCUGUAUGGAUUAUAUCUUGGUGGGAAUAAAUUGAACGGUUUCAUACCAGAGAGCUUCACAAGUCUACGAUAACUCAAGAUUCUGGAUGUGUCCAAUAACAACUUAUCAGAAAACCAUUCUCAACUAAAAUCAUUGUCAUUACUACAGGCAAUGUUUUUCUCUAGCAGUCUCACUCAUCUAAAAUCUCGUUCUCUUCGACUUUCAUUCUAGGUACGCUCAUUAUUAUCUCUAUAUUGAGCAAUGUUAAAUUUACAAAAAACAAAAAACAAAACAAAAUUAAAACUAUGUUAAACUUAAAAAAUUAUACAAAUAUAUACCGACUAAUUUUUUGUAUGCAUCAAAAAGUCCGGAUUAUAAUGACUCAUCCUAAAAUUCUAUUUGAUAUUGCAACAUUCUUUUUCUUCAUCAUGUGUACGUGUGUCUUAUCCACUAAUAAUGAUGAUGGGAUCAGUGAUAAAAAAAUUAUUUAUCUCUUAAAACUUAGAGAAGCCUUGCACAAUCUUCCUUUCAACUAGUGUAGAAACUAGUCACCAAAGUGGUCGGUCCACUACUAAGUGUGUGUUUGGAUUGUGGUUGGUCAAACUAGAAUUUGAAUAAAAGUAAUUUUAUAGAAUUGAUUUUGGAUAGAAGUAAGUUUGUGUCAACAUGAUUUAUGUUUGGCAACUCUUUACCAAAAUUGAUUUUGAUAAAAUAAAUAUUGUUUGGAUAAUAUUAGUUAAAAUCACUUUUAGAUAGAUAAUUACCCAUUUUAUUUAAUUUAUUUUUUUAAUUAGUAUUUAUUAUUAUUAUUAUUAUUAUCAAUUUUUAAUAUUAGAUAAUUUUUUCUCAUGAUUCUCAUAAUUUUUAUAUGAUAUAUUUUUUGUAUAUUCUUUUUUCAUAUUUUUUUUAAUUUGUACAUAUUUUUUUAUUAUAAUAUUAAAUUAUAGUACAGAAAAAUUNNNNNNNNNNNNNNNNNNNNNNNNNAUAUAGAAAGGAAUAAUAAGAAUUUUAUAAAUAAUGCAAUAAUAUGUAUAAAGGAUAAAGUUGGUAAAAGAAAAAUAAAUAUUGAAGGUAUUGGCUAAAAGCACGUUAGUGCAACGGAGAAGCUAGAAAUUAUUGCUUCUUGUAAACGUGAUUUUAUGAACAAAAUCACUUCUGCGUUUGUAGAGAAAAAUAUUAGCCAAACAAAAAAGUGAAGCUUUUAAGAAGCUCUAACGUGCUUUUUUCCUUCAAACGUGGUUACCAAACACACCCUAAGUGGUUGUUCAUAACAUUUUUACCAAUUAACUAAGUGUUUCUAUACUGAAAAAUAAAAUAGUUUACAAAAGAUUUAUUCAGUAAUUUUACUUGAAAUAUUAAAAAGAACAUAGUCAACAAGGUUAAUGAAUAGUUGACCCAAUAAUUGGAAAAAAAACUUGCUCGUAAAUUAAAUUGAAACCAGCAUUAUUUAGAAAUGGAAAGAAAGAGACUUACAAGAAUAUUCUCUCCCCUCCUGAAUGGGUCCUUGAAGAUGGCUUGUGGGCUUGUUCAACACAAAAAACAAACCCCACUCAACACAAUAAGUUGUUGGCAAGUAUUUAAAUUCAUACAUUGUCUCCUCUCUCCAUAUGUAAUGAAAGCUUGGUCUGUGAAGGUGUAUCUUUUAGCUUUUAGUGAAGUCAUUUUUCAUGUUCAGCCGAGCUGAAAAUUUGUUAACCCUUGUUAGCUAUAUUUUUUUUUCAAAUAAUUGAAGAAAAUAAUUUUCAGCAAUCAAUGAAUAAAAAAGAGAAAUAUUAAGAGAUUAUCAAAAUUUAUUAUUUUUGUUAAUUAUUNNNNNNNNNNNNNNNNNNNNNNNNNNNNNNNNNNNNNNNNNNNNNNNNNNNNNNNNNNNNNNNNNNNNNNNNNNNNNNNNNNNNNNNNNNNNNNNNNNNNNNNNNNNNNAAUAUUUUUAAUUAUAAAUAAAAUGAAUAAUUAAAAUAAUAUUGAGUUAUUAGAUAGAAUAUCAUCGAUGAUAUAUAUAUAUAUGCUGUUAUUAAUAUUAAUGAGAAAUAUAUCCUUUGUAACUUAAAGAUACCAUUGUCCCUUAGUUAAUGAAUUAUUAAAUUGACAUAUUCAUAUGAAACUACAUUUGAUUGAGGUGGUUUUGAAAAUCGUAUAAAUAAAAUUUGAAGAAAUGGACAAUUGGGCGGAAGAAUUUUUUUUUAAAACCAAACAUAUGAACAAUUUAUAUUGAAAAUUUAUAUUUAAAAUGAAUAUAAAAUUUAAUUUUGUAAGUCUAAUUCAAUGAUUUUAAUUUAGGCUAUCAAAUUUUAUUUUUUUGACAAUUAUAUUUUAAAAUUUAUAUAUGAAUUGUUACUAUUGUUAUUGGUUUGUCUUGUGCUUCAUCCUAGCUUUUGUAUUCUUGUUGGUCCAUCUAAUAGAAUUUUUUUCAUCUUUAAACUCUUUGUAUUUAUACAACUAAAGGGAUAUAUACCUAAAAUUUACAAAUAGCCAACAUAUAUUUAUGUUUAUAUCUUUAAUAAUGAGGGUGAUUUCUUAGUCUUGACAUAUAAAUAAUGUGCCAGCUAUGCAACAUAUAUAGAGAUUUAUGUAGAAGAUAACAAAGAAAAAUGAAUUUAGAAUACAACUUUAGAAUCUUCACUCAAAAUGAAGUAAAGAAGCAAGAAAUUUAAACAAAGAGCAUAUAGCUUUAUAAUCCUUACUAAAAAUUCAUUCACCAAUAAACUUAAUAAUUUGUGAUAAAAGAAUCAUAGAUCCAUUGAUCAACCAAUAAACUUAAUAAUUUAUAUUUAUAACCAAUGGAGUAAUACUACGAAGACAAUACGUAAAGUUAUAUCAUUUUCUUAAUAUUUAUAAUUUAUAUAUAUAAUAUCUAUAAUUAUAUUUUUAUUAUAUCUAAAAUUAUUCAUUUAUUUUAGUAAUAAUUAAAAAUAUAAAAUAAAAUAUAUUUAAAAAAUAUGACUCUUUCUUUUCAAACUAUUACUCCCAAAUAUUUUCAAUUAUUAAAUAUGUUCUAAGUCAAGUCAAUCUCCUUUUAAAGUUUUAUUUAUUAAAAUCUAAAUAAUUAUAGUGACUAACAACUUGACUAACUUUUGGUACCAUGAAUAUCAUAUUCCACUUUUUCAAGUGACACGUGAUAAUUUUCCUAUAAGGAUACAAGUAUUGAUUGACACAUGUCCACACAGGACAAAUAUGAUUAUCGUAUUAUCACAAGUCUUUUCCGUAGCUUGAUGACAAGUACAAUUUUAUGUUGAAUUCUUUAAAGUAUAGGAACAUUUCAAGUACACCGAAAGUAUCGGUGCUUCAGUUAUUUUAACUGUUGAUCUGAAUUAUAAAAAAUAUAUAUAAUAUAUAUUAAUUGAAAUCAACGAUUAAAACAACUGAUGCACCGGUACUUUUUGAUGCAGAGAUGUACUUGAAAUGUUUCCUAAAGUAGAUAUAUAUAUUUUUUAGUUUUUAUUCUUCCAAAAUUCUGACUUGCAAACACAUCACAAGCUAACAAACAAAGAUAAUCUAAAAUCUAAAAUUAAAUAAAUUUAAAUUUAAAAAAAAAAAGAAGGGUAAUGGAUCAUACUAUAGGAUGACUUCAAUAUCCUGUGCUCGAACCAUCAUAGUUCCAUUUUGGAAGUUUUGAAGGAUUACUCACUGGACCAGAUCCACCAAUCCUGUUUUCCACCACAUCAAAAGCAUUAAAUAUUUAUAUUAAAUAAGAAAAUAACUAUACUAAUAAAAUACACAUAAAAAAUAAACUAAAUAAAAUAUAUAUGUAAUUAAUUUUGGUAUCAAAUAGAGCAUUUUUUAUAAAAGAAAUAGUGUUAGAAAGGAUGAGCACUGGAAUGUAAUAGUAUAGAGGUGCUCUCUGCCACUGCUUGUUUCCAAGAUUAGACAAAAGGGAAAAACUACUUUUCACAGAGAUAGUUAGUUCCUUGCUCCAUUAUUUCAUUUUCCAAGCAUCAAUAUCCAAAUACAGUAUUAGUUCAUGAAGUACACCUGCAUGCUCCAGCUUAGAUCAGAUCUUCUUCAAUUCUCUUCAUCACCUUCUCUUUCUUUCUUUCUUUCUUUCUUCCCCUUAUCACACAUCAUCAUCAAACUCAAGCUAGCUACCCAUUUUUUUUCAUUAUUAGUUUUAGUUAUCUCUGCCUUUAAUUUGAAGCCCUAUUAAAAAGGUAAUCUCUUUAAUUUCUUGUUACAUUAUCUUUUUUCUUCUUAAAAUAAUUUAUUGUUUCUCUCUCUCUCUAGCAGGUUUUGGACUGAAAAGGACAAGACAAAGGGCAUAAAAGAGAAACUAAAGCAUCAUCAUCAUCAUCAGCAUCACCAUGGAAAGGAAGAACUAUUAUAUGAAGAACAAGAACACUAGUAGUACUACUCAUAAUAACAAUAGCUUUGAGGAGCAUUAUUCAUGGGAAACUUCUUCAUCAACACGGCCAACAAGAAGCUAUGCUUGUAUGAUGUCCAAACCAGAUCCACCAAUCCUGUUUUCCACCACAUCAAAAGCAUUAAAUAUUUAUACCAAGAACAGAGCAAAAAUAACCAAAAGGGAAAGUUUACAAAAAUAUCUCUGCUUUUUAUGUGUAAGAAGAAGACAUUUCAAAAGAAUAAGAAAAGAUAUGAAUUCAUCCCAAAAAGGAGGUUCUGAUUUUUAUUUUUAUCUUUUUGGGUAGAAACUUUUGGUCAAAGAUUUCAUAAAACCAGAGUCCCCUGUUUUCAAGAGGAAAAAACAGAGCCCCCUGUUUCAAACAAUAAAUUAAAAUAUGAGAGUAAGAUGUAUGAAAAAGCGAACCAUAUGUAUUCAGCAAUGAUCUUCUGGGUACCGGAUUCGGAGAGGUUGAGGUUGAUGAGAUGUGAGAGCAAAGACAUGGAGUAUUCAGUAAUAUUAUUUGGAUCUCACUCACAGACACCAUCUUUUCUUAGCUGUGUUUUUUUUAUAGCAAAGCUUCCCUAUGUUCUUUGGGAUAGCAAAGCUUAUUAGCUAUGUGUUUGGUAUUUUGGUGGAGUUAGGCACGGAGAGGGGGAUAUUUAUAUUUUAUAUGCAUCAGAUUAGGGGCAUAUGUGGAAUUAAAUGGAGGAAUUAUUGGAACAUAUAUAUAAAAAAAUUCUAAGAAUUCACUAAUUCAUUAAUUUUUGUAUAUUCAUUAAUAUUUGGUUGCUAAGAGUGUGAAAGAAGCAAGAGUCAAAGACUAAGAAGAUGAAGAGAGUAAACUCUGUGGUAGAGUGCAGUAAACCCUCCCUUCUUAUAAAAAUUUGGAGUCAACAGUCAACUAAACAAACGGAGAGAGACGUGGGUUAAUGUGUUUCAGACUUUUUUUUUUUUUUUUGGUUUGUUUUGUAACUCUUUUUUUAAAUCCCAAAUCAAGCCUAAGACUUGAGUUAUAUAUCAAGUCAUUUUUUUUAUUUAACACAUCUUUCUAUAAUUCCUUAAUAUAGGUAUUUUAGGUCAAGUUACUAACAAAAUUUUACAAGUAAGGAAAAAAAACAAUUAACUCAUAUUUAUUAAAUUUAAAAUCAUCACUCAUUCUUUUCUACCAAUUAUUUAUGAAUACUAAAGUAUUUUAUUUUAAAGAGACGUAUAAAAAAAUUGAGAAAAAAAUGAUAAAUAAUCCUCAAUAUUUACCUAACAUUUUAAUUUUACACUCACAAGUUUAAGGUUUCAAUUCCAUUCCAAGAGUAUGGAAAUGGAUUAUCAUUUUUGAAAAGGUUGAAUUAAAUAUAUAAAUUAUUUUUCACUUAUAAAAAGUGUCAAAAAUAAAUUUUUAAAAGAUCAUAAUAUUUUUUUUUUAUUUCAUUUUAUCAAGAAACUAAAUUUAUUCGCAAGUUUAAUGCAAAGAUAACUAUAAUCCAUCGCUCUUCUGGAUUAUUAGUCCAACUUGUAUAGUGAAUAGUGAUGACUGAUGGGAAAUGAGGUUCCAUAUCACGUGGCUGCAGACUCUAGAAUCAUCGAUGAAAGCAGCAUGUAUAUAUUGUCUGCUAUAUGGGUCCAAUUUGAAAAUUGAUGACGAAAAAAAAGUAACAUGUAAUCAAGUAAUCAGCUAUAAUGAUUAAAUUAGCAAAAUCUAAUUGUAGGCUACGUCGGUCGGCAAUAGUAAAGAUUCCCACUUGAAUAAAAUAAUGCAAAGAAGGAUAUUUUCCAUUAAAAGGAUCUUAAAUUUAAAAAAUUGGCCAGAAAGGAACAGAGGCACAGAGGCACAUUUUUAGACAAAGUUCUAUUGUAUUUAUUGUACAUGACUACAUGUUAUAUCAACCCUUAUCUCAUGAAUGAUUGCCCCGUGACAUUCCCAUACAUCUUGAGAAAUGUUCUUUUAUUGUUGUACAAUAAUUCAAUUUAUUUAGGUUUCACAUCUCUUUCAAUCCCAAAAAAUAAAUAAUAAGAGAAAACUUUGUAUAACAAUUUUUUUUUCUUCUUCCUCUAAAAGGACAGAGUAGGAAGCCAAUAAUUUGGGUAUUUUUGCCAAGUGGACCCCAUAGAGGCGUAGACACAAGAUAUGGUUAAGGAGACUUUAAAUAUGAAAAUUUUAAGGUGCAAAGCAAGAAAGAAACAUGUCAUCAAUAUUAUUCAAACGAUUGCAUGCAUUGUAUUAAUAUUAUUGUUAUUAUUAUUAUUAUUAUUUGAAAGGAAAAACUCAUGCAAUUGUUGAUGUAAAAUUGAUAUUUGAGGAUCGUUAAUUAAAUAAUUUAAUAAAUUUAACUAAAUUAUCAUUUAACAAUUUUUAACAAUUAACUUAACAUAAAUAAAACUACUUGCGAAUCGAUAUAGAUAUUUUAGAAUUUAUUUGGAAAAAAACAAUAUUAUUCAAGUACGAAGCACUCGAACUCCUUAUAAAAAAAUAGUUUAAUAUACUUUAAAAAAAAUUUUAAAUAUAUCGAUAUACUGAUGUUUCAGUAAUUUUUAAUCAUUGAUCUUAAUUAUAAAAAUAUAUAUAAUUAAAAAUAUAUAUAAUUAAAAUCAACAAUAAAAAUUACUGAAACACUAAUUUAUUGAUAUACUUUAUGUGAUGUAGCUACAAAGCAAGUGGUAAUUAUUAGAAACCAAUAACACCCUCUGCUCCUAUUUUUCAAGAAACAAAUUAAACUAAAACUAAGUGUAGAGGUGGAAAAGGACUCUUCUCCAGCCUUGUACCGAUGGGAUUCAGAAUUCGAUUCACUAAAGAUUUGCUUUCCCAUAUAAUUGUUUCUUUGCCUAUGUUUGCUGAGGCACAUGCCAUCAUAAACCUGCCUUCUAUAUCUCAAUUAGGGAAACACCGACACAUCAUAAACCUGCCUUCUAUAAUUUUUCGCAUUUUUUUUUACAACUUUUCAGACCCAUCACUCCAUGGAAGCAGAUUCCCAUUUGUCUUUCAUGAUUACUAAUUAAUUAAUUAAUAAAAAAAAACUUCUUACUUUCAUUCAUUAAUAUUUAAUAUUAUGUAUUAAAAUACCCGUUUACUUUUAAUUAAUUAAGAGAAGAUAGCGUAAUGGGUGCUUACAUAACUUGACGUUGGUUCCAAAAGAAAGAGUAAGAAUGAAAGUCUUUAGUAGGGUCAAACCAAAGGUUUAGCCUUUGUUCUCUAUUUCCCACUCCAUUCACAUACACAUUUGUUUUAACAGAGUAAGGUUCCCCUGUGGUGUUCCCCAGGAACUCAAAAUCAAACUCGUUGUGAUUUGGACCCUCCGAUGACAUCUACAUCAUCCAUCACACAAAAAUACAUAAAUUAGAUGCCACAAUAAUUGAAACAGAACAAGGUCAAUUCAACAUGAUUCCCAUUGCAUUAUUAGGUUUGAUUCGAGGCGAUAAAAAACAAGGGAGGGCCCCUCCUAUUAAAUUUAAUUCAAGAUAUAUUAUGGUUCUUUAACUUGAUUGAAAGUUUAGUGACAAAGUUGAUAAAUGCAUACACCAAAGUAAUUGAUGGGAUAAAUGGAGUAGUAGGUAACUGCCACUAAUGAGUGUGGUACUACUCUUUUUCUUCGUGUGUUUCAAUAAAUCUGAAGCGAGAAAUUAUCUUGUGCAAUAAAGAGAGGGAGAUGCUAGGGGGACAAUGAUUUUGGAAACAAUAUGAACAACGGACCUUAAUAGUUAAUCCAAUUAGAUUAAUAACAUAGGUAUACUGAUAAACACUCCAUUUCUUAAAUUCUAAUUUUAAUUAUCUUAACUAAUACCGUUGUAAUCAUCACAUCCACUCCCCCUUUCUUUGACUAAACAGUCAAAACCUUUCCCCUUUCCUAACUUUCGAACACCCUUCAGGAAAGGAAACGUUAGCCUUCCCGCUAUUUCGAACGACAUUAACGAAGGAGGACCUUCUCCGUUAGCCGCUCCUUUUUUGCUGCUACCCGUAGUUCAUCCUGCCAAUCGCCGUACCGAGCAUCCGCCAGCGCCUCCAUUGCGAAGACCACAAGCAGCAAAGGAGAAUCCCUGGCCCCCUCGAGUAGAAGUCACCCAGAAACCCCAGCGUUGGCCUUUAAAUGCAGUCUCCCUGGGUUGUAGCCUUUGCAUGUUCGCCUUUGUUGGAGUCAUUACCGGAUGCAACAAGAGAAGCCGUGGAGUGUGUUUCUCUUCCAAGAUUGAAGGUCAGAGAACCGAUAACCGUAUAUUGAAUGUUUAGAUGUUUACCGUAACUUUUAUGUUCUGGCUGCUUAGAAGGGUUUUGUUGCUUUUGGAGAUUCCUGGGUCUGUUAGACUUAUCCUUUUGUUUGUGAAUGUAAUGCAGUGGGAAGAAAUAAUGAUACGUACAUGUUUAUGAGCAUCCGGGUUUUCACGUCUUGUAUUUUAACGAGUUACUGUAUUUGUCUUUGUUUUGCCUCCGGUUAUUAGUAAGUUAGCAAUUCGUCUGAGGCACGUGCUAUGAAUAUGUUGCUUUGUGAGUUGUUUAAUGAAUCUAGAUAGGAUGGUCAAUUUAUUCAUUAACAUAUGGUUGAAAUUUUUUCCCAGGUGUUUGUAACUUGGUUGAUGAUGUUUAACAUUUUUUUUUAUCAUUCCAAAACCUCACCUAAGAGGCUGUCAAAAUUUAGAAAUUGUUAAAUACUCUGAUUAUGAAUAUUUGAUAAAGAAGAGAUUGGCUUGAAUUUGAAUCCUGUUGGUUUAUUUAACAUAAAAAUUGUAAGUAUAAUUUGGGAUAAAUUUACUUUUUUCUAGUAUUAGCUAAAAGUGUAUUUUAAUUCAUCCUCAAAUGUCCACUUGCAUUUUGAUCCAUUUGAUUGGAAUGGAUAUAAGUAAAAGUACUUUUAGCGUUGAAUCUAACUGUACAAAUACUAUAUUUAUAUGUUGAUCAGCAUUUUUGAUAACCAUCCCAAUCAAUAUUAGGACUUGUUUUGGUGACUUACCUAAUUAGAACUUCAAUUUUUAAUUGCUAUGCUUACAAGGAUCUUGUUUAACAUUUAAUUUUUUUUAACUGGUUAUGUACUCUUACUCAAUUGACUGCCGGGUGUUAUGUUGUUGAUUUUGAAAUGUUUGUUUUUUUUUAAAUUAUAGCAUGAAUAAUAAUAUCAAAUGGUUCAUGUUUCCUUGGAUUAAGGCAAAGAUGUUUGAAAUUUGUUGGAGUUUGGCUUGAAAUUUUAGUGUUGUUUUCUUUGUCUGUUUCUGGUUCAUACAAUGGACCGUUAAUUUCUAUAAAUAACAGGUGUUCAAUUUUGUAAGAAAUGAUGGAUUGAAAAAAUGUUGCGAAAUCUAAUUAUAUUAGGACUUGUUUUGGUGAUUUAGAUACUUAGAAUUUCAAUUUUUUAAAGCAGCUACGCUUGCAAGGACCUUUUGUAACUUGAAUUUUUUUAAAACUGCCUAUAUACUCUUACUGCACACGACUGUGGGUGUUAUUCCUUUGUACUCUUACUGCCUAUGUACUCUCACUACAUUGAAAUUCUCAUUUUAUUCAUUAACCCAUGUUUAAAAUUUUUUCUCAGGUGUUUGCAAGUUGGUUGAUCGGUUGCUUUGUCAUCCUGUCAAAAUUUGUGGCCCUUAUCUUACUUAUGAAACUAACUUUUUUUGCAUAGGUCGCAUAAAAAUUCUGGGCCAACUUCAAAUGCUCAAACCGCAUCCCAACUGUUGGUAUUUCAUCGUCAGCAAGGCAACUAUGGUCUGGUAACUGCAAAUCAGUUCAAAAUAGACAUCAUUUCAGCCACACGACGAUAAAUGGUCUAUUCAAACAUGCGGUUAACGAAAAAACAACAAUAAAAUAGAAUCCGAACCUCAUCAACAAGUUCCGUGUCAUUACAUUCCAACUCAGUAAUUUCCGUACAUUCUAUGACCUACAAUCAAACAUACACAACGUAAGUAGAUGCUAUAAUAAAAUAUCAACUAAAUAGAAUUUAUUAAUACUAUGUCCAAAAAUAUGAUAUUAAAAUUUAUUAAUAUGCAUGAAUUAAUUUAAAGUGGCACCUAAUGAGUUAGUAUUGUGUUAACUAUUCCCUAUUUAUAUACAGAAUGCAUAAAUCCACCACAUAUCAAGUAUCACUACACAAACUAAAAUAGAGUCUUCUACUACCAUGUAAACAGUCUCGUUAUUAGCUCCUAUAAUUUUUUUUCAUAUUUAUCCAAACUUGUUAGUGCAUGCAUGGUUUGAUAGCAUACAGAUGGGGAUUGUAACAAUUUUAGUCGUAACCAUGUGCAAAAUCUUCAUAUUUAACACUAUACAUAUAUUCAAAACAUGUCAGGAUGACCUAUUAAAGAGGUAUUGUAACACUUCAUCAUAUCCAGUAAAUAAAUUUCUAACUUCAUCUUCUUUAGAACUUUUCACACGGUUCAUUGAAACUAGUUAUAAAAACUUAGCAAGAACCCAAUCUGUAACUAGUAAGUAGUAACAACUAACUAAUACAUUGAAUUAUAACAUUCCACCAUUCUAAAAAUGUAAUUGUUUUCUCUUUUUAGGUAGAAAAAAUUCAAACUAAUCUUUUCACCGGAUCAUCCACUUAUAUAUUACACUUUAACUAAUAACCACAUGAAUGAACAAGAACACCAUCCAAAUUGUUCCGUUUAUAACAAAAUAUCAUAAUUGAUUAAGAAUGUUGAGCUUUUAAUAACUAUCUAAUUUAUAUGAAAAUAAACAUACGUCUAAAAGAAAUAAGAUAUAUUGUUUAUCUUGUCCAACUGUUCACUUUCUCCUUCGAACGAAUCACCAGUAAAAGAAACUGGCAUGAGACAACUUGGUUCAACGGAAUUAUGCUCCAUUAAAAUGGUUGUGAUAGGUGGAGACCUUGGGCUGCAGGGGCUACACAGGGCGUGAUCACGGUGACCUACGCCGGGCUGCACGGUGCACGGGUUGACGGGUGUAGUGAAAAAAAAUUUUCUCCACUUGAAGGGCUGCCGGACGUUGGAAUAGGGAGGGAGGGCUGCGUGGGUGGGCUGGGAACCAAGAGAUAGGGGAUAUGGUGAGGAUAAAAAACGUGUGCUAGUUCCCAAGUUGGUAUAAUUAAUUAGUUAUUAGUAUAAUUAAAUCCAUUUUGACUUAUCCUUUUAAAUUUUGAAAAAUAGUUAUUAGUAUAAUUAAAUUAAUUAUAUCAUUAAUUAAAUUUAUAAGUAAUUUACAUUUGUAACCCCAUUGUUCAUAUUGUUCACUAAAAUUAUUGUUCUCCUAUAUUUUUCCAUAAAGAAAAUGUCUGAUGCAUUGAACUGAACCGCACAUACAUUUAAAUGCUAUCUAUGUACAUAAUUAGAUUCACUAAAGAUUUGCUUUCCCAUAUAAUUGUUUCUUUGACUAUGUUUGCUGAGGCACAUGCCAUCAUAAACCUGGAAUUAUACCUAAACUCAUCCAUUAUAAAAAUAGACACAACAAUAUAAUGGAAUUGGAUUAAAAUAUUUUAUUAGUACAUCCGAAAAGUUUAUUUUGACUAAUAAUUGGUUUACUUACUUUAUUAAAUGACUCAUAUCUUAUAAUCAUUAAUUGGAAUAAUUCUACUUAAAGUGAAGAUAACACCCCCAUUAAUGAUGAUACAUAUGUGAGCCAACUUAACAUAUACGAAGCACAAACAAAUCAUUCAAACAUAUUUAAUUUCUUUCAAUUCAUUAUCUGAUGAUAAACUUUCACGGGUAAUCUUGGCUUUCCCAGUGCAACUAGUGGCUUAGCUUUUGUGGUGUCCCUUUCAUAUUCAGAGAGAUCAAUGGUUGGUUCAUUGAGAGGUGCAAUCCAAGUGAAUCCAUGAACCAACCUUGCAAAGAGCAUAAUAGUCAUUGUAGACCCAAGUGUGAUUGCAGGGCAGCUUCGUCUUCCAAUGCCGAAUGUGAACAACUCCAAAUUUGGUUCAGCCAAAGUCACACGACAUGCAUCGUUCUUCAAAUGUCUUUCAGGUUUAAAUUUCAAUGGUUCUUCCCAAACUCUUGGAUUUUGGCCAAUACCUUGCCUCCUAAUAAGAAUAUGACUACCCUUUGGGAUAAAGUAAUUAGCAACAAUUGUAUCUUCCAUUGAGACAUGAGGAACAUUGAAGUCUGCAAUUGGGUGAAGGCGAAAACCUUCUCUUAAACAUGCCUUCACAUAGUUGAGUUUUGGAAUAUCUGAUUCUUGCACUAACCUCUCUUUUCCUACCACACUGUCCAAUUCUUGAGUAGCCUUUUGAAGCAUCUCUGGUUGAUUUAUCAUUUCAGAAAGUACCCAUUCAACAUUAUUAUAUGGAUUAUCUAUUGCUCCAACUGCAAUUUCCUGCCAAGAGACACAAAUGUUCAUAUUCAUCUUUAUCAACCAAAAAAAUAAAUCUUAUAACAAUAUUUUAGUCAACAAUAUUCAUAACUUUUAAUUGGUUUCGGACUUCUACUUUAUUUUGUAUUGAAAUUGUUUAAUAAAUNNNNNNNNNNNNNNNNNNNNNNNNNNNNNNNNNNNNNNNNNNNNNNNNNNNNNNNNNNNNNNNNNNNNNNUUAAUAAUAAAAAAUAUGUCACAAAAGAUAAUUUAUUCUUUAAUUUAAAAAUGAUUGAGUAGAAUUUACUUAUUUUAUAUUGUAAUUUUUGAAUAUUAUUAAUUCUGAUUAAUGUUUCAUGUAUCAAAAGCAAGAUCUAUCUUAUUUGUUUUUUGUUUUUUGUUUUUUGUUUUUUUUACCAAAGAUAGGAGACUCGAACCCGCAACCUCUUUAUUGAGUAUGAGAAGAUUAUGCCAUUUAAGUUAUAACUUAUUGGCAUCUUAUUUGUUUAGUUAUGUUAUGAUAAUAUUACAUAUUUAUAUAAAUUUAUGUUAGCAGAAUAGGAUAAAUGCAGUUUUAAAAUUAUAUGUUUCAAAAAGAAUGAUUGUUCCGACAAAUUAGAUGAUUAAUAGAUUUGUUAAGGAAUUUUUUCCGGAUAAUGGACUAUUUGUACAAUGUGUAUAAUGGGACACAAUGGGCUAUUGAACUGAUUUUGGGGUUCACCAAGGCUCGAACUCUUGACCUUUUAGAUCUAGCACUCUAAUAUCAUGCAUGAUACCACUCAUCCCAAAAGCUUCAGCUGAUGGAAAAAGAUAACACUAAUAAUUAUAUCUCUAAUACUCUCUAAACUUCCAUUGUACACAUUGUAUAAAUAUUCCAUUGGCUCCUCGUACUUUCCCACUUUUUCCUCAUGCGUUGGUCACUAUAUAUCCAAAUUCAACUAUAUUAAAAUUAGAAUAAAUUAUUUAAAUAAAUUAAUUACAUCAAAAUAUUAUUUGUAUUAUUUAAAAUUAAAAUUGAUAUGUGUAUCACUUAAAAUUUAUUUUUAUGUAAAGGUAAUUUGAAUUAUAACUUUUAAUAAUAGUUUAAAUUAAGAUGAUUAGAUUUAUUAGGCGAUGUUGAAAUGAGCAUAUAAAUCGAAUUAAGCAUGCAUUAAAUAACUCGAAUUAAGAACAAGGAUUUGAUGCAUGCAUAAGUCUAAUCAUGUACAAAUUGAAUUUAUCUAAUUUAUUCUCAAUAAUACAUAAUAAAUUUAAUCAUUCUAAUUUAAAUUAUUAUUGAAAUUUGUAAUUUGAAUUAUCCUAAUUCAAUUUACGUAGAGAUAGACUUUGAGUGAUACCAUAUAAGUUUUAGUUUUAGACGAUACAUGUAAUAUUUUGAUACAAUUGGUUUAUGUAAAUAGUUUACGCUUAAAAUUAAUCAUCAAAAUCGGUUAUUAAUAUAAAUGAAAAAAUGAAUGAGUAAAAAUGUUACCAUGAUUUGACUUUUGAUUUCCUGGAGAGUCAAAAAUGGAUUGCUGUUAGCAUCUUUCAAAGAUAUAAGAACAUCAAGCCAAUCCUCUUGAUGUGCCCUUGUCCCAUUCCUCCACUGAUGAAUCCUUUCUUCAAUGAUGGGAUCAUGGUACUUCCUUAUGGUAUUAGUUGCUUCCUUCAAUAUUUUUUUAUGACCUUCAAAAUCAAGCCACCACAACCAUGGAAGAUAAUCGGAAACAGAAAAUGCAUAAAUGUGCCUUAUAGCAAUGAAGAGUGAUUCAACAUACUCCACUUCCUCAGCACCUGCUCCUCCAUCUUCUCUACCAUUACCAAAGUACCUCUUAUUGAAGAGUAGCCUCCUCAUCAAGUUUCCACCAUAUUGUUUCGUUACAAUCCUCAAAUCCACUAGGCCACCACCAUUCUUGGUUUGGUUUGGUUAUACACAUGGCGGACGAGGUUGUCGGCUUCUUCCACCCUUUUGUCAUGCAGCCAUUGAUGCCUUUUUGGUGAAAUCAAUUCUUCCACCAUGACUCUCUUCAUUUUCUUCCAUUGUUCUCCAAAGGGUGUUAUUGUUGUGGUUAAGUAUCCCGAUGAGACAUAUUUACUCGACCAAUUCAACGGCCGUGAUGCGAAAAUCGCAUCUUGUUUCAUGAAAAAUUCACGUGCAAUGGAAGGACUAGUCACUAGGAUGACAUGAAUGUUGCCUAGUCGAAUGCAUGCGAUUUCAGUUUCGAGAUCAUUCAUGAUGUUUUGUAUCCAUCUGAACGUGGGUUUGUUUGCAAGCAUUUCAGGGAUGUUACCAACUAUAGGCCAUGGUUUGGGACCUGGUGGGAGCCUAGGCUUCUUUGAUUUCUUGGUUGAAUCGUUGUGUUUGAGGAGAUUGAUGAAGAGAGGUAUAAUGAAAAAGAGUAAGAGCAAGAAGGUAGGAGCAGAAUAUUCCAUGGCUGAGAUAAUUAAAGACAGUCUAAGUAAGUAGUUGAAUUUGAAUGAUGUGUAUUCUCUAAUGCACUUUGGUCUUUUUGGUUGAUGAGUUGGUUGCGUGCAUGUAACUAUUAUAUAGAGCUGUUCUAUGUGGGUUUGGAGAUAAGAUACUAUGAGUGCUGACUUGUCAUAUUCUUUGAAUAUUUUCAUUCAUAAUAUCAAUUAUGAAAUGUAGAAAGAAUUAACUUUUAAAUUAGUUAACAUUACUUAACAUUAAUCAAAAUUUUUAUUUUCAUUAUAAUUAGGGAUAAGUAUUGUUUUGAUCGGGUUAGAAUCGAAACCGUCUCUAACGUAAUUUUUUAUUUAAAAUCAUUCUUAACGUUUUUUCCGUAUUAAAAUCUUUUUUUUAAUAAAUUUUUUUAUUUUAUUACUAAAUUACUUUUAUUAAUUUAAAAUUAUAAAAUAAAAAAAAACACACNNNNNNNNNNNNNNNNNNNNNNNNNNNNNNNNNNNNNNNNNNNNNNNNNNNNNNNNNNGGGAGUAGGGGAAGAAAAAUGGGAAGGGGAGAGGGGGGACGGCGCCGGCAAAGGGGAAGCUUUUUGCUUCUGCUUGAGCUUCAGCUUCUGUUUUUGUGACUGCUGCGUCGCUGAGAAGCGGAGUCCGACGCGAGGAGGGCGGCGCGAGAAGGAGAGAGAGAGAUCUGAGGCUAAGCUGGGUUUCUACCACCGCCGAUCUACCUAGGGGUGUGCAUGGUUCAGUUUUUCCAUAAACUGAACUGAAACUGCACUAAACCAUUUUAAAUGGUUUAGAAACUGAAAACCAUAAAAACUGGUUUUUAAUAAACUGGUUUUCAUAAAAACUAUGGUUUCAGUUCAGUUUUUUAUUUAAAAAAACUGGUUUAUUUAGAACAGUUUCAGUUCAGUUUCAAUUCAGUUCAGUGAAAUCAGUUUUUUUGCACACCCCUAGAUCUACCUAACCGCCGUCGGUGGUUUUGCUUCGGCUUAAAAGGGACUUUUGGUAAGACCUAUAGUUGGACAUUAGGGUCAGAUCCGAAUACGUGCCUUCACCUCAUCGAAGGUUUAGAAGCUAUCAUGGUUGGAGCGGAACAUAGAUAGCAAAGGUAUGGGUAGAGGUCAAAUGCACACAUCUACCAGUAUAAUGCCCAAAUUCAUCUAUCAAUUCCUUAUCCCAGAAGUCUAUUUUAGUUUUUCCUGUAAGUUUUGGUACUAGGAAAGAAUCCUAGCUCCUAUAAGAAUCAUAGCCCUAUGAUUAGGAGGGAUAAUCCGCCCGCCAAGCGGGCGGAGCGCUCGUUAUCCUUACUGUUUUCUAUGCCGGGCCCCUCCCAUUGCUCCACUAACCCAACAUGAGGUGGAGUCUUAACCCGACACAAGAUGGGACCUAUUAGGAUAGGAUAGUGGGCUUAGAACAAGACCCAUCGGUGGGGCCUUAGGCCCUACUUAGUUGACUUACAAUGACAAAGGC
rnacentral:lncRNA from 1 species